GUAACAAGGUCUCCGUUGGUGAACCAGCGGAGGGAUCAUUGCUGGAACGCGCCCCAGGCGCACCCAGAAACCCUUUGUGAACUUAUACCUUACUGUUGCCUCGGCGCAUGCUGGCCUCUAGUAGGCCCCUCACCCCGGUGAGGAGAAGGCACGCCGGCGGCCAAGUUAACUCUUGUUUUUACACUGAAACUCUGAGAAAAAACACAAAUGAAUCAAAACUUUCAACAACGGAUCUCUUGGUUCUGGCAUCGAUGAAGAACGCAGCGAAAUGCGAUAAGUAAUGUGAAUUGCAGAAUUCAGUGAAUCAUCGAAUCUUUGAACGCACAUUGCGCCCUCUGGUAUUCCGGAGGGCAUGUCUGUUCGAGCGUCAUUUCAACCCUCAAGCAUUGCUUGGUGUUGGGGCACUGCUUCUAACGGAGCAGGCCCUGAAAUCUAGUGGCGAGCUCGCCAGGACCCCGAGCGCAGUAGUUAAACCCUCGCUUUGGAAGGCCCUGGCGGUGCCCUGCCGUUAAACCCCCAACUUCUGAAAAUUUGACCUCGGAUCAGGUAG
rnacentral:rRNA from 1 species